UACAGAGGUCUCAAGCGUUGUUCGGAAUUACUGGGCGUAAAGCGCGCGCAGGCGGCCAUUCAAGUCAGGGGUGAAAGCCCAGAGCUCAACUCUGGAACUGCCCUUGAAACUGUAUGGCUUGAGUAUGAGAGAGGUGAGUGGAAUUCCCAGUGUAGAGGUGAAAUUCGUAGAUAUCGGGAAGGAAACACCAAAGGCGAAAGCGCUCUGCUGG
rnacentral:rRNA from 1 species